rnacentral:lncRNA from 1 species
GAGGUAGCAGAUGGAAUUAAGGUGGCUCAUCAGUUAACCUUGAGAUGGGGAUGGCUUUCUGGAUUAUCCAGGUGGGCCUGAUGUAAUCACAAGCAUCCUUAUAGAUAAGUGAGGGAGCAGGAAGUCAAAGGGGCAGCCUCUAGAAGCUCAAAAAGGCAAGAAGAUGGAAUUUCCUCUUAGAGUCUCCAGAAAGGAAUGCAGCCCUACCAACGCCUGGACUUUAGCCAAGUGAUGCUCAUUUUGGACUUCUGCCCUCCAGAACUAAAAACCCAAAAAACUUGGCAGUGCCUGUGGUGGUUGUGGUCUCAACAUUUCCUUCAGAUCUUGAUCAGAUUUCAUUUGAGUAGCUUUUCAGAGCUACAGAUCCCUUUCUUCAAGUACACUGGGCCUGGAGAUCUUUGGAAAUGAACCUUGGCCCCAGAAUCUUCUACUUAAAAGUUCGCAAUCCUUUAUCCAUUCUGGUAACUUUGCCGUCCGUCUUGACGACUUGUCCUAGGAUUCUGCUUCUCUGCUGAGCCCCCUCUGAUGGAAUCUUCAGUGGUUCUUCAACUGUGUUUUGCCGAAAAUCCAGAACAUGAGGUGGUCCUGCAGGAAGCAAUGACAUUUCUCUUUCAAGGUCAAUACCUCAUGGGGAAAAGCAUUUAUUACUACAGUUGCCAAAAAAAAAAAAAAAAGAACAUGAGAAUCUCUCAUGCAUUUUCAACAAUUGAAACUUUUUCUGAUUCCUGCUGUCUUUAUUUUUUCAAGUAUUCAGUGAAGAUAUGCCCAAAUCCACUACACAUGCAAUGCGUUCCGAGUACAUAUUUCCUUGUCAGAGCAUUACUAAGUGGUAUGCCUGUGCCCAACUGCUUCACAAAUUGGUUUUUUGAGUCUAGGCUGGAGUCCAGCUAGUCAUCACAAAGUAGCAAAUAGAUGAAUGUCUUAGACGUUUCUCCUAUAUCUUUUGUAGAUCAGAAUUAUUUGAUUUUCCCAGGAAGUAUACUGUGGGACUGUGAGAGUCUGCUGGGACUCUCUCCUGUCAGCAGUAGUGUUCAAUCUGAAGAAGUUGCCAGCAGUGGCAUUUUAUUUGUAGAUCCUAAAACAAGGUACAUUGGUAUAAAUGCUGUAACUGGUAUUUAGACCUGUCAUAUAUUAAAUAUUUUAAUGACAAUACUAGUUUUUAGCAAUAAUUUCCACAUGGAGAAGUUACAUCAUUUAUUUUCACUUUUAAGUUGUUUGUACAACUGUGAGGAUGAAUUUAAACUUAGACAUACAGUGGCGUUCUGUGAUAGAGGUCUUCAUGGCUAAGCCACGUAGCAUGACCUCCACAAAUCCAAAUCACAGUCCUCCUCACCCCCAUAUGCUGACAUUUGGCAAGCCAGCUGGUCUAGCUUGUUCUUGGAAACCCAUAUUGUCUUUUGUGUCCUCCCAGAUGUUCCUAGCAGAUAAUUGCCAAAAGUUGCCCAAAUAAAAAUGGGAGCAUAAGAGAGACAUUUAAGAUCUUACCUAGAAACUUUAGUAGAAGGUUACUUUUACAUUUUCAACACGGUCAUUUCUAAGAUGAUGUAGUCAUUAGACAUUUGAAGAAUUACAGCAUGGUAUCAGUAAAUGGUCACUAGCAUUUUUUGUAUUUAAGAAUAACUCACUCUGGGUGAGUGGACUGACCUUGGAAUGUGUAAUGUAGUUGUACAGUGUUCCGCUGGUUUUCAGUGGCUGCAUUUCCAAGAGCUAUACUUCUGAAGAUAAAUGCGAACAUAUGGCAAUAGGUUACAACUCAUUAUCUAUUUUCUUUUCACAAACUAGAAUGACCUUAGGAAAAUGCCCUUAAUUAUGUGAGAGUUACCAAACUCCUCCCCAAGAUUUUCUACAGAAAAUUCCUGUAUCAUUAAUAGGACAUUUGGUGGCUUCAUUAAGAAUUUGCAUCAAUGUGCUAGUUAAAAAUUUGUUAAAUACAAAAACUAAAAGAAAUGUACUCAUUGUCUCUUUAAAAAAAUAAGGUAUUGAAUUAUUAGUUAUUAGUAUUGUAUUUGUACACAAAAAAGUUCACCCUUUAAGUGUACGCAACUAUAUAUAGUUGAUAUUAGGAGAUGUUUCAAACUAAACGAAAAUAAAAACAAAGGGCAUAAACUAUAAAUGAAAAAUAUUACAUAGUUUUAUAUGAUUAUAGUAUAUAAUAUAACAGGUACACAAUCAUAUAUACUUGGUGAGUUGUGACAAAUGUAUUCAGUUGUGUAAAUGCCACCACGGUUGUCAUGAGCUGAAUUUUGCCACCACCCCCAUUCCUAUGGUGAAAGCCUAACCCCCAGGAUCUCAGAAUGUGACAAUAUUUGAAGGUAGGGCCUUUAAAGAGGUAAUUAAGGUUAAAUGAGGCCAUAAGGGUGGGCCCUAAUCCAAUGACAAGUGUUCUUAUAAGAUGACAAAAGUUGGACAUACAGAGAGACACCAAAGAUGACUCGGCACAGAGGAAAGAGUCCAUGGAAAAGCAGCAAGAGAGUGGCCAUCCGUAAGCUAAAGAGGGAGGCCUCAGAUGACACCAACCCUGCCAGCAUCUUGAUCUUGGACUCCCAGCCUCCAGACCUGUGAGAGGACAAAUGUCUGUUGUUGAAGCCACCCAGUCUGCAGUAUUUUGGUACGGCGGCCCUGGCAGACUAAUGCACAGUCAUGAUAGGACGUUUCCAUUACUCCCUCAAGAGCCUCUCCUGCCCCUUUGCGUCCACGCUCCUCCCUCCUCUCUCAGCCCCUAGUAUUCACUGAUCUGACAACUCUCUCCCCUGCUUUGCCUUUUCCAGACCAGAAUGCCAUGUAAAUACAAUCAUACGGCAUGCAGCCUUUGGAGUUUGGCUUAUUUCACUUAGAAUAAAGCUUUGGCUGGUCACCUA